CACAAUCUAGUAACAGCUGUCUCCCAAGCUCACUUGGCUGGAGAUGGUCAACAGCUAACAUGCUGAGCUGCUUCUCCACUUUGAGAGGCCGCAGCCUCAGGAUCCCAGGUAGAGAAAGUAUUUAUGAAAGAUUAAGAAGAUGGCUGACUCCAUCCAGAUGCCACAGGCCAUGCUGCAGCAGCCACAUGACUGUCACAGACACCUCAGGGAUGGUCGACCCAGGAGUGACCACCAGCGACCUACCAAAAUCAAGGGGCUUUGCUGAUAUUGAGGAGUAUCCAUUCUUUCAAAAUGUGGACUGGGACAUGAUGGAACAAAAGCAGAACACAAACUGUGGUGAAACUGAAGUGGAAAUAUAUGCAAGGACUGUGGACAAGAUAAGAAUUGAAAAUUCAAACGAACAGCACAAAUAGUUGGAGUACAACUGGAAGUGUUAAAUGAACAUUUCAUUAUAGGAAGGCCAAAUAAACAAUCCAGAGGGAGAGGUCACAGAAACAAAAAUAAUGGUAGUCAAGAGGACAGCUAUAAAAAUGUAAGGCAUACCUCUAUUUUACAACUAAGGAAAUGAAAUUCAGAAAUACUUGAUAGCCGAACAAGCUGAUUUUCAUAACAACAACCAAUUUCAACGUAGGUGACAAUACACCACCUAAUGAAUUAUUUCACCUUCCUGAAUAUUAAACAUACUUACAUUUUGUAUUAAAUA
rnacentral:lncRNA from 1 species